ACAGUUUGAUUCUAGCUGAAAAAUUAGCUAUAUUGAACCAAUAUACAUGUAAGCUUAAACUAUCCCGCACCAGUAUUCUCCUAAAAGAUACCCAAAUUACAUCAAAUCUUUUUAUACGUAAUAGCGCGCCACAGUAAACAACCCUAAAUGUUUUGCUAAGGCAAGACAUGGCUAUCAAUUUAAGAGUUGGCAAAAUUCGUGCCAGCUGCCGCGGUUAGACGAUAAACUCAAGUUAACUAAGACACGACUAACAAUACGAUGAAUUAAAUAGUUUUCAAGGUCUAAUUUAUCAAUCUUAGAGCCCCUUUCAUCAAAAUUCUUAUAAAAACAUAAUCUAAAACACGGAUUAGAUACCCGUCUAUUCAUGUAAUAACUACAGUCGAAUAAUACGAACCACAGUUUAAAACUCAAAGAUUUUGGCGGUGUUUUAUCAAACCAGGGGAACCUGUCUCAUAACUCGAUAAUCCACGAAUACCUUACCCUUCCUAGUAAUCAGUUUGUGUACGCCGUCGUAAGCACACCUCUAAAAGUAAUUAAGUAUGCAAUCAUGACUAUUCCCAACUACGUCAGGUCAAAGUGCAGCUAAUGGAAAGGUGAUGAUGGGUUACACCCUAAAUAAAGACACGGAUUAUAUCUUAAAACAGUAUAAAAAGGUGGACUUGGACGUAAUUCUAAUCCAAAAUUUCAAUGAAGAAGAAUCUAAGACAUGCACACAUCGCCCGUCACUCUCACCUAAAGGUAAGAUAAGUCGUAACAAAGUAGGUGUAACGGAAGUUGCACCUGA
rnacentral:ncRNA from 1 species